AGAGUUGAUCAUGGCUCAGGAUGAACGCUAGCGGGAGGCCUAACACAUGCAAGCCGAGCGGUAUUGUUCUUCGGAAAUGAGAGAGCGGCGUACGGGUGCGGAACACGUGUGUAACCUGCCUUUAUCUGGGGGAUAGCCUUUCGAAAGGAAGAUUAAUACUCCAUAAUAUAUUGAACGGCAUCGUUUAAUAUUGAAAGCUCCGGCGGAUAGAGAUGGGCACGCGCAAGAUUAGCUAGUUGGUGAGGUAACGGCUCACCAAGGCGAUGAUCUUUAGGGGCCUGAGAGGGUGAUCCCCCACACUGGUACUGAGACACGGACCAGACUCCUACGGGAGGCAGCAGUGAGGAAUAUUGGUCAAUGGGUGCAAGCCUGAACCAGCCAUCCCGCGUGAAGGACGACUGCCCCUAUGGGUUGUAAACUUCUUUUGUAUAGGGAUAAACCUACCCUCGUGAGGGUAGCUGAAGGUACUAUACGAAUAAGCACCGGCUAACUCCGUG
rnacentral:rRNA from 1 species